GACGUAGGGCGCGAGCGUUUGUCCGGAUUUAUUGGGCGUAAAGAGCUCGUAGGCGGCUUGUUGCGUCAGCUGUGAAAACCCGCAGCUCAACUGUGGGCUUGCAGCUGAUACGGGCAGGCUGGAGUUCGGUAGGGGAGACUGGAAUUCCUGGUGUAGCGGUGGAAUGCGCAGAUAUCAGGAGGAACACCAAUGGCGAAGGCAGCUCGCUGGAACGGUACUGACGCUGAGGCGCGAAAGCGUGGGGAGCGAACAGG
rnacentral:rRNA from 1 species